rnacentral:rRNA from 1 species
UACGGAGGGAGCUAGCGUUGUUCGGAAUUACUGGGCGUAAAGCGCACGUAGGCGGCGAUUCAAGUCAGAGGUGAAAGCCCGGGGCUCAACCCCGGAACUGCCUUUGAAACUAGAUUGCUAGAAUCCUGGAGAGGUGAGUGGAAUUCCGGAGUGUAGAGGUGAAAUUCGUAGAUAUUCGGAAGAACACCCGGUGGCGAAGGCGGCACUCUGGCCAGUACUGACGCUGAGGUGCGAAAGCCAGGAGGCAAACAGGG